rnacentral:rRNA from 1 species
UACGAGGGGGCGAGCGUUGUUCGGAAUUAUUGGGCGUAAAGGGUGCGUAGGCGGUUUGGUAAGUCUCGUGUGAAAUCUCCGGGCUCAACUCGAAGUCUGCACGGGAAACUGCGGGGCUUGAGUGUGGGAGAGGUGAGUGGAAUUCCCGGUGUAGCGGUGAAAUGCGUAGAGAUCAGGAAGAACACCCGUGGCGAAGGCGGCCCACUGGGCCGGUGCGACGCUGAGGCGCGAAGGCGUGGGGAGCGAACGGG